CCUACGGGUGGCAGCAGUAGGGAAUAUUCCACAAUGGAGGAAACCCUGAUGCCGCGACGCCGCGUGAGUGAAGAAGUAUUUCGGUAUGUAAAGCUCUGUCAGCAGGGAAGAACGUGACGGUACCUGAUUAAGAAGCCCCGGCUAAAUACGUGCCAGCAGCCGCGGUACUACGUAGGGUGCAAGCGUUAUCCUGAUUUACUGGGUGUAAAGGGAGCGUAGACGGCAGCACAAGUCUGGAGGGAAAUGCCGGGGCUUAACCCCGGAACUGCUUUGGAAACUGUGCAGCUAGAGUGCAGGAGAGGUAAGUGGAAUUCCGAGUGUAGCGGUGAAAUGCGUAGAUAUUAGGAGGAACACCAGUGGCGAAGGCGGCUUACUGGACUGUAACUGACGUUGAGGCUCGAAAGCGUGGGGAGCAAACAGGAUUAGAUACCCGAGUAGUC
rnacentral:rRNA from 1 species